CGCAUCUGUGCAUGCAGCAUAUCAAUAAGCGGAGGAAAAGAAACUAACAAGGAUUCCCUUAGUAACGGCGAGUGAAGCGGGAAGAGCUCAAAUUUGAAAUCUUCAAGGUUUUACCUUGACGAAUUGUAGUUUAAAGAAGUGUUUUCUGUUGAAGUUUUGGUAAAAGUUCUUUGGAAUAGGACAUCAUAGAGGGUGAGAAUCCCGUAUUUGACCAUUAUUUUCAGGCUGUGUGAUACACUUUCAAAGAGUCGGAUUGUUUGGGAAUGCAGUCCAAAAUGGGUGGUAAAUUUCAUCUAAGGCUAAAUAUUGGCGAGAGACCGAUAGCGAACAAGUACCGUGAGGGAAAGAUGAAAAGAACUUUGAAAAGAGAGUUAAACAGUACGUGAAAUUGUCAAAAGGGAAGCGUUUGACACCAGUGUUGUUUUCUCGAAAAUCAAUUAAAAAGAGUUUGAUUUUGUUGUGUAUUGACCUUAACAGCUUGCAUUUCAAUUUUCUUGCUUUUUUUAAUGCACUUUUCGUUUAACAAGUCAACAUCAGUUUCUUUUGUUGUAAAAAGGUCAUUGGAAGGUGGCUUUCUUUUCGGAGAAAGUGUUUAUAGCCUUUGACUCCUGCAAUCGGAGAGACUGAGGUCUGCAGCGUAGAUCCUUCGGGGUUAGAUACAUUUGUGCUAAGUUAUAGCUUUUUAUAGACAACUUGUUGACUAUGAUUAGUCUUGUAGCUUACUCGCUUAUGCUAUUUUACCUACGCUUAGGAUGUUGAUGUGAUACUGCGAGCA
rnacentral:rRNA from 1 species